AUCCCAGCGCCACUGUGCCACCGCAACGCCCACCGCGGCGACUGACGGGGGAGCCCGCGCGCUGCUCCUCCCCCCGCCACCCGCGCGCCGCCAUCCCCCGCCGCCCACGCGCAGCUCCUCCCCCCGUCGCCAGCGCACUGUCCUCUGCCGUCCGCACGCCGCCCCUUCCCCGCCGCCUAUCUGCAACUCCUCCCCCGCCGCCGUCUCGUGGGACUCGUGGGUGGUGGCCGGCAGGGGAGCCCGCGCGCCGCUCCUCCCCCCACCGCCCGCGCACCGUCCUCACCUUCCCUCCCCCACCACCACCUCCAAGAAAUGCUUUCCCCGCCGGAUCCCCCCGCGGCGCGGUGGCCGGCGUCCUCCUCCUCCUCCGCCGCCGCAUCGACGGUGUGCCCCACUGCUCCCUCCCGGCCGCCUCCGCGGUGUCGUCCACUCGUCCCUGCAAGUGUGAGAGCUGAGAGCGAGAGGAAGGAAAGAGAAACAGAGAAAGAGAAAGGGGAAGAGAGAGGGUGACGUGGGCACCUUACAUGUGGGGCCCACGUGGGUCUCACGCUGACUCAGCCGCCACGUUAGAUAAAAUCGGGAUCGAAACCGCCGAGGGAUCUAUUGUAAAAUUUUGUAUAGUUGAGGGACCUUGCAUAUCUUGGUUUGCGGUUUGAGGAAGUUUUCUUAUCUGGACGACAAGUCGAGGGACAUUGAGUGUACUUUUUCCUUUCUCCCUUGAUUUUGUGGGCCGUUUGUCGUUAAUAUGGCCCAUUAUUUGUUGGCCAGUUCGUUGGCUGGGCCUUGGCCUGGGUCAUAAGGCCAGUUUACCUGAGUGAACCGCGGGCGGCGCCUGAAGAGUGAAGACAAUCGGCAGUGGCGUGACACGGCUGAAACUUCGCCGGUGACUGUUUGCUUUCCGCAUCGCGUGUAGUAGUAAAAUUUUGGAAAGCGGACAGAAUACUGGUCUACUGCUACUGGAGAUGGAAAAUCCGAGUAAUACCGAUUCUGAUCAGUAGAAGCGGUCAAGACACGGCAGAGCAAGGCGCUAGAUGUGAGUCAUGUGACACUGCUGAAGAGUUGUGAUUUUUGAGGCCACUGUCCAGGGGCCCAACUGCCCAAGCCGGCUGUACUCGUCGUAGGCAAAACAUGGCCACCCGCUGUUCGCUCUGAGUAGAGAGGAUAUCUUCGAUUCUUCAUUGGUGAUAUGUGUUCCAAGCAGGAACAACCCGCGAAACUCGCCGUGUUCGUACAACUGGUGUUGCUGCUGCUAUGCUAUGGAGUUGGCAACAAUGUCGUCGUGACGUCGUCCAUUGCUCAACUGUCCGCGAGAACAACAUAGAUCUACAAUCGCUGAUUGAUUUCAAGAAGGGUAUCACUGAAGAUCCAGGAGGAGUCUUGCUCUCUUGGAACACUAGGACCCAUUUCUGUUGGUGGAAUGGUGUCAUAUGGGUGGUGUGUGGUCAUAAUAGUACUGGACAAGUAGCCGUAUAGAUGAACAAAGAGCUUAAUCCACAUACCAGUUAA